CCUACGGGGCGCACCAGAGGGGAAUAUUGGACAAUGGGCGCAAGCCUGAUCCAGCCAUGCCGCGUGAGUGAAGAAGGCCUUAGGGUUGUAAAGCUCUUUCACCGGUGAAGAUAAUGACGGUAACCGGAGAAGAAGCCCCGGCUAACUUCGUGCCAGCAGCCGCAGUAAUACGAAGGGGGCUAGCGUUGUUCGGAAUUACUGGGCGUAAAGCGCGCGUAGGCGGAUAGAUAAGUCAGAGGUGGAAUCCCGGGGCUCAACCCCGGAAUUGCCUUUGAUACUGUUUAUCUUGAGUGCAGAAGAGGUAAGUGGAAUUCCGAGUGUAGAGGUGAAAUUCGUAGAUAUUCGGAGGAACACCAGUGGCGAAGGCGGCUUACUGGUCUGCAACUGACGCUGAGGCGCGAAAUCGUGGGGAGCAAAUAGGAUUAGAUACCCCAGUAGUC
rnacentral:rRNA from 1 species